ACCUGGGAGGAGAACUGAUGACCUCUGUCAGAGGCCAUGUCAAUGGGGAUACCGUGGAGUCUGAAGACAUGCUGGACAAGGAGGUGAGCAGUUUCGACUUGGAUGAACUCCUUGGUGUCUUUAACAAGGCUGGGACACCAGAAGUGCAUGGUGCAGAUUACAAAGUAUUGAUCCCAACAGCGACCCCUGGAGGACACCAAUCGUUUCAUCCCAAACUUUUGGCUGAUAUUUUCCCAGGGAAUUUUCCAGACCAAAUGAACACGUUACAGAGCGUUCAUCCAAAGAAUCCCAUACCGGCUCGGUCGUGGCCCGGUUGAACAACGGCCGGCCAAGGUCCAGACCUAAAUCCCACAGACGCUCUCCAGCCA